rnacentral:misc_RNA from 1 species
AACGCACCUUGCGCCCCUUGGUAUUCCGAGGGGCAUGCCUGUUUGAGUGUCAUUAAAUCCUCAACUCCGAUCGAUUUGUUUCGACCUCGGGGCUUGGACUUGGAGUGUGCUGGCGUCUGGUCGGCUCCUCUCAAAUGCAUCAGCGGAAUUGAACCUUUGGGGGUUUCCGGACAUCAGUGUGAUAAUCAAUGUUGUGCUGUUGUCUGACCUCAAAAAGUCCGCUCACAAUCGUCCCUUCGUUGGACAAAGCUCAUCAAAUUUGACCUCAAAUCAGGUAGGACUACCCGCUGAACUUAA